UCGGGAAUCUUGCACAAUGGGCGAAAGCCUGAUGCAGCAACGCCGUGUGAGCGAGGAAGGUCUUCGGAUCGUAAAGCUCUGUUGUUGGGGACGAAGGGCGAAGGGUUAAUAGCCCCUAGCCUGACGGUACCCUUCGAGGAAGCCCCGGCUAACUACGAGCCAGCAGCCGCGGUAAUACGGAGGGGGUUAGCGUUGUUGGGAAUUACUGGGCGUAAAGCGCGCGUAGGCGGACUAUUAAGUCAGGGGUGAAAACCCGGGGCUCAACCCCGGAACUGCCUUUGAUACUGGUAGUCUUGAGUUCGAGAGAGGUGAGUGGAAUUCCGAGUGUAGAGGUGGAAUUCGUAGAUAUUCGGAGGAACACCAGUGGCGAAGGCGGCUCACUGGCUCGAUACUGACGCUGAGGUGCGAAAGUGUGGGGAGCAAACAGGAUUAGAUACCCCCGUAGUCC
rnacentral:rRNA from 1 species